rnacentral:lncRNA from 1 species
AUCACCUCUCCCCAAUACCUCUUAGGCCUCCCUCUGCCUCGCCGAACGCCGAUAAUCGCCAGCCGCUCACAAUUCCUCACAGGGGCAUCAAGACUUCUCCUCCGCACAUGCCCGAACCACCUCAGUCUCGCUUCUCGCAUCUUCUCAUCCACGGGGGCCUCCCCCACCUUCUCUCGAAUAACUUUAUUCUUAAUCUUAUCUAACCUGGUGAGCCCGCACAUCC